rnacentral:rRNA from 2 species
UCCCCUAGUAACGGCGAGUGAAGYYSKSMGCAKCUCAAGCUUAAAAUCUCUGUGCAAGUUUUGCAUGGCGAAUUGUAGUCUAUAGAGGCGCUGUCAGUGCAGGCAUUUGGGGUAAGUUCCUUGGAAGAGGACAGCAUCGAGGGUGAUACUCCCGUUUGUACCUGAGUGCUUUGUGCGUACGACACGUUUUCUUUGAGUCGCGUUGUUUGGGACUGCAGCGCAAAGUAGGUGGUAAAUUCCAUCUAAAGCUAAAUAUUGGUGCGAGACCGAUAGCGAACAAGUACCGUGAGGGAAAGAUGAAAAGAACUUUGAAAAGAGAGUUAAAGAGUACCUGAAACUGCUGAAAGGGAAGCGAAUCGUAUCCAGUGUCUAUAAUCUGUGGCAUAUUUCAUUGGCGCAUGUGCGCGUGCUGUGUGUUGGAAGUGGCUUUGCUGCUCCGCGUAUGGUUCUGCGUGUGUGUGCUGGUGCCCUGUGUCAUGGUGGGACGUCAGAGUCAGUUCGUAUGCUGCGGGAAAUGGCUAUCGAGGAGGUAGGUCAGGAGCUUGCUCUUGGCUGUUAUAUCUUGGUAGCUAGUGGUCGUGGUUGGGACUGAGGUGCCUACAACGUGCUUUGAGGUCUUGCGGGUUCUUGCUUGGCGGUCUGUCUGGAUAGCUUGCUAUGCUGGUGGAUUCGDUGGGUGAUUGAGUCUGUUCCUAAC